rnacentral:rRNA from 1 species
CCUACGGGAGGCAGCAGUGAGGAAUAUUGGUCAAUGGACGAGAGUCUGAACCAGCCAAGUAGCGUGAAGGAUGACUGCCCUAUGGGUUGUAAACUUCUUUUAUAUGGGAAUAAAAUGUUCCACGUGUGGGAUUUUGUAUGUACCAUAUGAAUAAGGAUCGGCUAACUCCGUGCCAGCAGCCGCGGUAAUACGGAGGAUCCGAGCGUUAUCCGGAUUUAUUGGGUUUAAAGGGAGCGUAGGUGGAUUGUUAAGUCAGUUGUGAAAGUUUGCGGAUCAACCGUAAAAUUGCAGUUGAAACUGGCAGUCUUGAGUACAGUAGAGGUGGGCGGAAUUCGUGGUGUAGCGGUGAAAUGCUUAGAUAGCACGAAGAACUCCGAUUGCGAAGGCAGUUCACUGGACUGCAACUGACACUGAGGCUCGAAAGUGUGGGUAUCAAACAGGAUUAGAUACCCGAGUAGUC